rnacentral:lncRNA from 1 species
UGAUCUCCACGUUGGCUAUAAAUUACAAUCUUUCCUCUAAGAAUUUUCAUACGAUUUCUGAGUUCUCCUCAUUUGUUCUGCAUUGUUUUAACUUCAAAGAAAGCAACCGCAAGUGUGAUUUGCUAUCGAACUUUGUGUUCGCUGAAACAUUAGGGUUUGGAGUACCACUACACUGGUAUGUAAUUCGUUCUAUCCUGGGAGAAAAUAAUCCAUAACCUUGGGUACUAGGAGGGGAUUAAAUUUCUUAAGAAAACACUGUGAAUUCAGUGGGCUCGGGAUUAUAUUUUGUUUCGUUUAUAUUUUUGUUUAUACACUAACUUAUAUUUUCCAGAAUUAUUAUUUACAAAUACAGCAAGAAAC